rnacentral:rRNA from 1 species
GAUGAACGCUGGCGGUGUGCCUUAUACAUGCAUGUCGAACGAGGCGUAGCAAUACGUCUAGUGGCAAAUGGGUGAGUAAUAAAUAGGUAACCAACCCUUAAGACGGGGAUACCCCAUCGAAAGAUGGAAUAAUACCCGAUAAUGUCCCUUCCGGUGCGCUGGAGGGGAAGAAAGAUGGCGCAAGCUAUCACUUUUGGACGGGCUUAUUUCCUAUCAGCUAGUUGGUGAGGUAACGGCUUACCAAGGCUACGACGGGUAGCUGGUCUGAGAGGACGGUCAGCCACAUUGGGACUGCGACACGGCCCAGACUCCUACGGGAGGCAGCAGUCGGGAAUAUUCGGCCAAUGCGCGAAAGCGUGACCGAGCGACACCGCGUGGGCGACGAAGAUCUUAGGAUUGUAAAGCCCUUUUGCCAGGGAAGAAUACGCUGGAGACAAUAUCAAUAGCGUUUGACGGUACCUGGCGAAUAAGCCGCAGCAAACUACGUGCCAGCAGCCGCGGUAAACU